rnacentral:rRNA from 1 species
CUACGGGUUGCUGCAGUGGGGAAUAUUGGACAAUGGGGGAAACCCUGAUCCAGCAAUGCCGCGCGGAGGAUGACGCAUUUCGGUGUGUAAACUCCUUUUAUAUGUCAAGAAAAUGACGGUAGCAUAUGAAUAAGCACCGGCUAACUCCGUGCCAGCAGCCGCGGUAAUACGGAGGGUGCAAGCGUUACUCGGAAUCACUGGGCGUAAAGGACGCGUAGGCGGGUUGGAAAGUCAGGUGUGAAAUCCUACAGCUUAACUGUAGAACUGCACUUGAAACUUCUAAUCUAGAGUAUGGGAGGGGGAGAUGGAAUUAGUGGUGUAGGGGUAAAAUCCGUAGAUAUCACUAGGAAUACCUAAAGCGAAGGCGAUCUCCUGGAACAUUACUGACGCUAAGGCGUGAAAGCGUGGGGAGCAAACAGGAUUAGAUACCCCAGUAGUC